rnacentral:misc_RNA from 1 species
AAGUCGUAACAAGGUUUCCGUAGGUGAACCUGCGGAAGGAUCAUUACGAAUAUCGGGGACUGGCGUAGCGAAGUGCUUCUGCACUCUCUAUGCUGGUCCUGUCUGCAUAUUGCCCUGUUUUUUGCGCACUUACUUGUUUCCUCGGCAGGCUUGCCUGUCAGUAGGACCCUUUUACACUCUUUGAAAUAGCAGUUAGCAUCUGAAAACUAUAAUUGUUACAACUUUCAACAACGGAUCUCUUGGUUCUG